GUGGGUUACACGGCAGAAACCCAAAGCGCGUUUGAAUAUGCGUGCGAAAUUCAAUCAUGAGACUGUCCGUUGAUGGAGCCGUGCGCUCUCAGUGGAUUUGGAAGUGGUGUGGAAACCCCAUGAGACGACUGUCCAUGACUUUUCCUGCUAAUAAAAGAGAUACCAGUAAAAUGUAGAAAGGGGAUAGAGAGGAAGAAUGAAGAGCAUAUUAAAAAAAGGACAAAGAAGAAUUUGGACAAAGAAAAUUAUGGAAAAAUAAAGAUUUUAGUCAUACUAAGAGAAAAUGAACAUCUGAAAAAUCAAAAUACUAGAUUGAACGUGGGAUUUUUAUUACUUAAUUUUGCUCCACUAGUAUAAUAGAGUAUUAAUUUUCUGUAUUUCUAAUCAUUUUUUUCUUUACAAACACAAAAAAUUCACUUAGUCUCUGAGAAAAACACUUUUAAACUUAAUUUGCAAUUUUUUAACAAUCUUAAAAACACAGCAACAUAAAAAUGCAGUUUACCGUA